rnacentral:rRNA from 1 species
UACGUAGGUGGCAAGCGUUGUCCGGAAUUAUUGGGCGUAAAGCGCGCGCAGGUGGUUUCUUAAGUCUGAUGUGAAAGCCCACGGCUCAACCGUGGAGGGUCAUUGGAAACUGGGGAACUUGAGUGCAGAAGAGGAAAGUGGAAUUCCUGGUGUAGCGGUGGAAUGCGUAGAGAUCCGGAAGAACACCGGAGGCGAAGGCGGCUUGCUGGGCUCGGUCUGACGCUGAGGCGCGAAAGCGUGGGGAGCGAACAGG